rnacentral:lncRNA from 1 species
GUUUGAGUCUCAUGUUAAUGCGUACUGCUGUACUCCAAUUUACAAGAAGUUUUUUUUUCUUUUGAUCGAGCUAGCUACUGCUGAUCGCGCGCCUUGCGUUGUUGUUGCCGUGUCCACUUCGCGCUCGCGCUACACACCUGAACAUCCCACGUAGGUGACGCAUUUAGAAGCGGUCUCCACCUGACAGGCUGACAGUCAUCCGCCAACCACCACGCAGAUCUAUCGAUCCCGUACAAAUAAUAACGAAUCCCC